ACAGGUGCUUAAACUGAAAUGGUUUUACAGAUUUAAGUAUAGAGGGUGCUACCAAAAACCUGUUAUAAAUCCUGGAGUGAACUCUUCUUGAAAGGCAGAGGUAGAAGAACAGGCCAUCAGCAAGUAACCUGAACCACUACCAAACCCACAGGCGGCUGCAGAACUGGUAAAGAAGCCAACGAAAAUGAGAAGAGGCUUUCUGAAAGGUCAGCAAGGGAGCCAAGUCCAGGCUUGGGCUUCGGUAUUUAAACUCAGUCUCAGAACUACACCCUAGUGACUGGUAUCUGGCUAGGACAAAUUUUACUUGCAGCACCUGAUCCAAAACCUGCUCGGGUCAAUGGCAAGUGCUCUGCGAACUUCUCUAAGUGUUGGAUCAGGGCCUUAAACGUGCAGCCAGGAGGAAAAACAUAUAAGAACUGUGCUGCAGCACAUUGCACGGUGGAGGAAGGGCCAGAACUGCACUGCCCUUUGCCGUGAAAACCAGUGGACGUACUGCUGAAGGUGGAAAUAGGGUCCCGGGGAGAAGAAAGUCACGGCUGGUCCAGGUCUUGUGUGCCCGGAGAGCCGCUCUAUAAAGAGACCCUUGUGAUUGCAGCAGGGACGCUGUGUCAGCCGAUGUUCAACACCAUGGAGAUCCUGAUGCCUGUUCCCAGCUGGAUGCAGUGGUGAAGUCAAGCAUCUCCAAAAGCACAGCCUCUGAAGGAAGGUGGAGGUGUAGACGCUGCCAUGGGGGACUCAGUGAGGCUUUUAACACUAAUGCAGGUUUAUGAGUUUGUUGCUCGAGGCUGGUGAGACCAAAUUUCACGUCAGACCUCAUUUGAGCCAGGAGUCGUAUUCCAAGUCACUGGCAGCUGCACCCUAGGGCCUGGAUAUGGACUGCCUGAAAUGUCUUGAUGGGUUGGACUACAUGAUCUUUAAAGGUCCCUUCCAACCCAAACCAUUCUACGAUUUCUAGGAAAUAUUCACUGUUUGAUUUCUCUGUGCAUCAGGAGACAAAGGCUGGUUUGGGACAUUUUGCGUCUUUGCAGUGAAGUAUGAAAGCCUGGCAAUGUGCAGUGUGGAUGGACUGAUGCAGAAAAGCCAGAUGCAUUCAAAUGCUAGUAGUUCAGGGUGAUUCCUGUUCCCCUUGGGCCUGGCACUGAACAUUCACAGAAUAAACCAUGUUCUUUGCCUGAGAGACCUUCAGCCAAAGCACAAGGCAGAGGAAAUGUCAUGCCAGCAAUAAGCAUUGGGAAAUCAGGAGUCAGGUCUCUCCUGACCCUUAGGUCCUGAGCUGAAAUUGAUUUUGCAAAGCAUCAGAUUAAAAACAACCCAUGUAUUUAGCUCGUUUCGUUUUGCCUUCCCAUUCACAAUUUCAGAGUUUUCUUCCUAGUGAUGAAGCCCACAAUAUAGUUUUUAAUUAAAUCUGAGUGCCUUUUACAGCAUCUCUGGCUCUGCUUUCCAUGACAUGGGGGUUAGGAAAUCUCCAUCUUCCCAUUGAGGGGGACAGAAUGGGACGGUGGCUCAGGGAGCAUCAGAGACCUGCCAAAGGUCAUGCAAGGAGAGGCAGGGGUGGGAACCCAGGUCCUAUGAGUGGUAGUCUGCUUUCUUCCUACUUCCGUUGCCCUCAGCUUCUUAAACCACAGCCUUGCUUUGAGACAAGCUGGUCUCGCUGCUUUGAGUUAGAUUUGCUUCCCACUUUGCUCCUGAUGGAAAAGUUUGAUGGUUACAAAAAAAUGGAAGUGAUUCCUUUCAGAUCAGCUUC